rnacentral:rRNA from 1 species
UAGGGAAUAUUGGACAAUGGGCGCAAGCCUGAUCCAGCCAUGCCGCGUGAGUGAAGAAGGCCCUCGGGUUGUAAAGCUCUCUUGUCCGGAAAGAAAAGCAUCGGGCUAAUACCCUGGUGUUCUGACGGUACCGGAAGAAUAAGCACCGGCUAACUUCGUGCCAGCAGCCGCGGUAAUACGAAGGGUGCAAGCGUUACUCGGAAUUACUGGGCGUAAAGCGUGCGUAGGUGGUUUGUUAAGUCUGAUGUGAAAGCCCUGGGCUCAACCUGGGAAUGGCAUUGGAAACUGGCGGACUCGAGUGCGGUAGAGGGGUGUGGAGUUCCCGGUGUAGCAGUGAAAUGCGUAGAGAUCGGGAGGAACACCAGUGGCGAAGGCGACACCCUGGACCAGCACUGACACUGAGGCACGAAAGCGUGGGGAGCAAACAGGAUUAGAUACCCUGGUAGUCCACGCCCUAAACGAUGCGAACUGGAUGUUGGGUGCAACUUGGCACUCAGUAUCGAAGCUGACGCGUUAAGUUCGCCGCCUGGGGAGUACGGUCGCAAGACUGAAACUCAAAUGAAUUGACGGGGUCAUAGC